GAGUUAAUCCUGGCUCAGAGUGAACGGGGGCGGUAGGCCUAACACAUGCAAAUGGAACGGCAGCACAGAGGAGCUUGCUCCUUUGGGUGGCGAGUGGCGGACGGGUGAGGAAUACAUCGGAAUCUACUCUGUCGUGGGGGAUAACGUAGGGAAACUUACGCUAAUACCGCAUACGACCUACGGGUGAAAGCAGGGGAUCUUCGGACCUUGCGCGAUUGAAUGAGCCGAUGUCGGAUUAGCUAGUUGGCGGGGUAAAGGCCCACCAAGGCGACGAUCCGUAGCUGGUCUGAGAGGAUGAUCAGCCACACUGGAACUGAGACACGGUCCAGACUCCUACGGGAGGCAGCAGUGGGGAAUAUUGGACAAUGGGCGCAAGCCUGAUCCAGCCAUACCGCGUGGGUGAAGAAGGCCUUCGGGUUGUAAAGCCCUUUUGUUGGGAAAGAAAUCCAUCUGGUUAAUACCCGGGUGGGAUGACGGUACCCAAAGAAUAAGCACCGGCUAACUUCGUGCCAGCAGCCGCGGUAAUACGAAGGGUGCAAGCGUUACUCGGAAUUACUGGGCGUAAAGCGUGCGUAGGUGGUCGUUUAAGUCCGUUGUGAAAGCCCCUGGGCUCAACCCUGGGAACUGCCAGUGGAUACUGG
rnacentral:rRNA from 1 species